CGAAAGUCUCCUUUGGUACCUGAACAAUGGCAUUUUCCAAUGUCCCAUCAGCAGCAUUGUCUACAUCUAUCAGGCAGCAAAGAUGCACCUGCUAUCUGACAUGGUGUGGCAAGCACCAAUAUUUGGUUUAUUAUAAUCAGUGCCUGUGGAGUCAUUCUGGAGUGCAAAGCAAAAAGAAUCACCACUGAGGCCUCAAGCUCUCCCAGUCUCCAAUGGUGACAAUAGCAUGCAGCACAGUGGAUGCUUUCAGACUGAGCUGCCUUGGGAAUUAUGGAUUGAGAUCAUGUCUUUGGUGAGAACCCCGGGAAGAGCUCUGCUGAGCUGUAGCCAUUGCAGAUGACUUUUGUUCAGGAUGCAGCUUUAAAUUCAGCCCAGGUGGCUUCUUUGUGGCAGCUGUGUUUUGUCCUACAGGCUCUUGAAUUUUUCUUAGAACAUCAAAGUUGCUUGCCACUUCUGCUGGGUCUCAGCAGGAAGAGG
rnacentral:lncRNA from 1 species